AUGCACGCUGGCGGCGUGCCUCAUACAUGCAAGUCGAGCGCACAGACGAGGAGCUUGCUCCUCUGACGUUAGCGGCGGACGGGUGAGUAACACGUGGAUAACCUACCUAUAAGACUGGGAUAACUUCGGGAAACCGGAGCUAAUACCGGAUAAUAUAUUGAACCGCAUGGUUCAAUAGUGAAAGACGGUUUUGCUGUCACUUAUAGAUGGAUCCGCGCCGCAUUAGCUAGUUGGUAAGGUAACGGCUUACCAAGGCGACGAUGCGUAGCCGACCUGAGAGGGUGAUCGGCCACACUGGAACUGAGACACGGUCCAGACUCCUACGGGAGGCAGCAGUAGGGAAUCUUCCGCAAUGGGCGAAAGCUUGACGGAGCAACGCCGCGUGAGUGAUGAAGGUCUUCGGAUCGUAAAACUCUGUUAUUAGGGAAGAACAAAUGUGUAAGUAACUAUGCACGUCUUGACGGUACCUAAUCAGAAAGCCACGGCUAACUACGUG
rnacentral:rRNA from 1 species